GCCUUUUGUUAUUUGCACUCGCAUUGUGUUGUUUGUCUCUGAAGCCGCCUCAUGACCAGCAAAGGGAUUUCACCUCGUCCUUGAGAGCAACACGGGGAGCGCGAGCGAGCGGGCGAGCGAGAGACGGGGGGAGAGAGAGGGACACGCGCGCGCACACACACACACACCGGCACACACGCACACACACAGACACACACACACAGAGUGAAAAAGGCGAGCCACCAAAACCCAUCUCCAGUCUCCUCCCGGGGGCCCCCAGCCCGCCUCUGUGCCACUUUGCAUCCCACGCCGGAGGAGGCAUUAACGAGACCGGGUAAGGCUUUUUAAACGGUCCAAGGUGUAGAGCCAUACUUCAGGAGGAUCCUCAGAAGUUUUGGACAAGCCUCCCCAAAUGUGGCAGGUGCUGUGCUGGCCAUUGGUGACCCAAAGAUGAUGAAAAAUAUGUUCCUGCCCACAAGGAGUUAGCGACCUACUGGGCUUUCCUCUUGCUGAUGACAUGAUUCCUGUUUGAAUCUGUUGACAAGAUUCUGAAAGCUGAACAGAGAAUUCUGGCACUGCACUGGGUAGGAAAAAGCAUUUCAAGAAAUAGAUAAUAUCAAGGACAUCAGGACACCGGGAGUGGGAGAGAUUGGACUGGGAGACUCAGCAGAAUCAUUCUAAUGGCGAGAUGCUUAUACAAUGAGAUGCAUAGGAGAUCUGAGACGAAUUCAACUACAAAUUCACAUCUCCUGUGUGAGCCAUGGGUGAGUUGAGUAGAAUGGUGGUAGAAUUAUAUGGGUUACAUUAACUACUUAGACUUUGUCCUAUUUUUCCUAUAUGAAAAUAGUUGAAAUUCUCAUAAAAAUGCAUGUAUGAUGUGAAACUGAAGUAUAAUGUACAGUCAGAUAAUUUUGAAUAUAUUUUGUGAAAUAGAUGUUUAUGAUUUAUAACAGCAGUAUUUUAAUUUCUAUGCAGCUUAAAUUGAUGCUUGGAUAGGGGAAAAGGAUGAAGAAGAAACUCAAUGGUAUGUUAACUGAGAGAAUGAAGUAAAGUGGCAUAGUAACGACAGUUAUAAAAGGGGCACUGCAUACCCCAUUGCUGUCAAGGGAUUGUAAACUUCCAGACUGGGCUAAACGAAUGCUGGGAAAGGUCUGUACAGCCACAACAAGUCCUUAGACUUAGGACUUAGAAGCUUAUUUGCAGUAGUUAUUUUAGGAGUUACAGGAUUCUGGGGACUAAUUCAUGUUAACUGAAUUUACAAGACAUAUAUAUAUUUAGUUGAGACAUUUAAUUACCAAGAUAACUAGAAAUCUCAUCAGUAGGAAGGUCUCCUUGGGCUGUUUGUUGCUAUGUUUAUGAAGAUGGUUUCAUGAACAUGGAGGGAGAAGCCGUAAAAUGGUUUUAACUAAUGACCAGGCAUGAUAGCUUAUUCCUUUGGGAAGCCAAGGCGAGAGGAUCCCUUGAGCCUUGAGCCUAGGAAUUUGAGACCAGCCUGGGCAACAUAAUAAGACCCCAUCUGUACAAAACAUUAAAAGUUACCUGGGCAUAACUUUUCCUAUAAUCCUAUAAUUCCUAUAAUCCCAGCUACUUGGGAGGCUGAGGUGGGAGGAUUGCUUGAGCCUGGGAGGUCGAGGAUGCAGUGAGCGAUGAUACUACCACUGCAUAACCUGGGCAAUGGAGUGAGGUCCCAUAACUUUUCUUUUCUUUUUUUUUUUUAAUAAAAAAAAAGAUUAUAAGGCCUAAUAUGCCUUUCUCUCCCUCAGAAGAGUUAAUUCAUUAACUCACAAUAGACCAGAAUACAGAUGCUCCUCAACUUACAAUGGGUGGGUUGACCUUUUGAUAAACACAUCCUAUCCUAAGUGGAAAAUGUCAGGAAUUGAAAAAGCAUUUAAUACAUCUAACCUAUGAACACCAUAGCUUAGCCGCACCUACCUUAAAUGUGCUCAGAACACUUACAUUAGCCUACAGCUGGGCAAAAUUAUCUAACACAAAGCCUUUUCAAAUAAAGUGUUGAAUAUCUCAUCUAAUUUACUGAAUACUGUACCAGAAUCAGGAGACACAGAUGGGCAUUUUGUAUACAUGAUGGGAUGCAAAAACACAAAAUACAAUAUCCGAAAAGCUCUGGCAACACAGUGCAUUGCAGAGUCUUAGUUGUUUACCCUCAUGGUUGCGUGGUUGACUAGGAGCUACAGCUCACUACCACUGCCUAUCAUCUCAAGGGAGUAUCCUACUACAUAUUGAUAGCCUGGGAAAAGAUCAGAAUUCAAAGUAUGAUUUCUAUUGAAUGCAUAUCAUUUUGUACUGUGGUAAAGCCAAAAAAAUUGUAAGUCGAACUAUUUUAAGUCAGGACCAUCUGUGUGCAAUGAAAUGUCAAGGUAACAUACCAGGGCACCUUUUCCAUGGAAAGUGUUACAAAAAUUGAUUCUUCUCCUUUGGUUCUUUUGCGUUUUGGUUUUCUAGAUACUGUUCGAAUAUUUAAAGAGUGCUCUACAAUGUUAAAUGUUUAUUUAGCUCACAGUUUAAAGAACUUCAGUUAGUUAUGUUUUAGUUUCCUUGAUAACAUUUGAGAUAUCUAAUUAGAGGUAACAAGCCCGCUGAUAUCAUUUUUAUGUGACCAACCAUUUCUCUGUCAUUUUUUCUGCAGAUGGUAAAUCCCAUAUAUUUUACCUUGAUUUUGUAUCAAAUUCUAUUUCAGAUGGUUAUAUAUACUGAAAUCGUCCUCCAAUUCUGUUUCUAUCUAUCUGGAACUUGUCAAAGAUGGGUAUCAUGGGGGAAAACAUGGCUUUGAAGACAGGCAGACUUAGAUGAAUACACUAGCUGAGUGAUCAUAGGACUAUUGCUUGAUCUCUGUCUUAGUUUCUCCAUCUGUGCAAUAGAAAUAAUUCAUUCUACUUUAUACAGUAGCAUAUAGAACAAUGCCUGGCACUUAGCAGGUGCCAGACAACUUAGCUUUCUUUUCUAUAAAAGGUUUUUAGGAGGAAAACAAGAUUUUUUUUUAUCUAAAAUACUUUUCACAAGGGUUUUUAACCAAAGGGCCAAAUCUGGCCUACAUAAUGUUUGUAAAAAUCAUAUUUGAAGUAAUUGCCAACUUUAAACAUCAGUAACUGUCACAUAAAAAUCUGUAUUUCUCACUUAUCUUGAAAAAGUGUAUUUUCUGGCACAGAGCUUCCCCAGUUCUGCUUGGAACUCCAGGCAGAAGCUGAGUAUUGGCUGCUGCUUUGGACACAGCAUUUGCUAAACAGCUCACUGCAGUGCUUUGAAUGACUUCUCUAGGCCUCUGCACCUGGAACUUCUUCACUAUGUUACCCUUUUCCUAAUGAAUCUUCAUUUCAUGAUAUUUUCACCAAAGAACAAUAGAAUCUGUAAAAAUAAAUACUUGCAGUGCUUAAAUGGGAAAAAAAAAAAAAAAAAAAAAGUCAAGCUCUUGUUUUGUUACUCUAAGGUGUUUGUACUUUCCAAACUGAAAGUUGGCCGAUGGGAUCUCAAGAUGACACUGAGUGUUUGGAACUGAGACUUCUGUAAAGAAACUUUGUUACUGUGGUUCCAAACCACAUGGACACUCAAUUAAUGCUGUUGACUGAUGACUGUGAAUUUUCAAGUGUUUUCAGUUUCACUGCCUUUGUCCUGGACUGCCCUGGAGAGUGGUAGCAAUGACACACUGUUUGGAAAAUUAAAGUGCUAUGUUCAUCCUUGAAACAAAUGGCAAAGCUAUUCAGGAUUGGUAUUAUUCUGAUGUUUUGGUAAGGAUCCUAUUGAAACACACACACUAAAACAAAGUCCUGGGUCAAUUAUCGCAAUGCAUCUUUUGAAUGAGAAAGACUCAAUGACUGGUUUGACAAGAGCCUAGUGACCCUGUGAGUGUUAUUAAUUUUAUUAUCCCAAGUGGUUUGACAAGAGCCUAGUGACCCUGUGAGUGUUAUUAAUUUUAUUAUCCCAAGAGAAUAACGAAAAUAGGACCUAUUGUUUAGCUCUCAAGCUAAAAUUUUAUACCAUUAUCUAUAUGAGCACUAUCUGAAGAGUCUCCCACAGAAUAUACUUAUGGGAGAAAGAGUUGAGUACAGUCAUAACUUUAAUAUAAAAACAACCCUUUAAAUAUGAAAAUAGUAGCAUGGCUCUAAGUCCAAAAUGUAGAGAGACGAUUAUGGAGAUAGAAACCUUGAGAUCUAUUUCUAGAUUAUCCUGGCACUCAGGCUCCUAUGAUUUUCUGUUUAGACAAUACCCCAUAAAGUAUCACAGUGAAUUUAAACAUCACAUUUGCAUUUUCUAGGGUAUUUAUGAUGAUUUUUCUGAGUGUACUUUCUAGAUGAGACAUAGAAAUAUGGUGGUUAAAAGGGGUCUUUGGAAUUAGAUUGCUUAUAUUUGAAGUCAGGCUCUGACAUGUAUAAGCCAGCUAUGGGAUCUUAAGCAAGUUUUCUACCCUCUACAUUUCUUCAGUUUCCUCAGCUAAAAAAUGCAGGUAGUAAU
rnacentral:lncRNA from 1 species